AUGGAAUUUUCCAGGCAAGAAUACUGGAACAGGUUGCCAUUUCCCACUUCAGGGGAUCUUUCUGACCUAGGGAUCAAACUCAUGCAUCAGCAGGCAGAUUUUUUAUAGCCGUACCACCUGAGAAGUCCUAUACAAUGCCUAUAGGGCUUAUGACUACCUACACAAAUGUCCAUUAAAUUCCAUUAUUCAGUCAAUCUGUUAUCAAACACUUACUGAGCACAUUCAAUGUGCAAGGCACUGUCCUAGCUUGUGAGGCUCAAUGUGUAAAAAGACAAAUAAAACUCUUUCAGAACUUGGAUAUAGUCUAUCUUUAUAUCCUCUUAGACCAAAAACAAGGGGACACAGAAACCAAGAACCAACUUCGGACUCUCACCAUCCCAGAUCUUGUCAUAGAAUUUGACCCAGAAAGUACUUUUCAGGCUAUCACCACAGCUCUAUUUUCCACUUUGUGUACUGUAACAAAACUGAAAAGUGCACAAGCCGGACAGUCACUGUGUGGAUGGAAUGAACAAUCGCGCUUGCUCUGUGCACAGGAUGAAUAAUGCCUUUGCCCUGGGCAGCUCAGCUUUCAUACAUGAAACGAGGGGAAUGUGUUUUUUAACCUUCUCUGAAAAAUACUGUAAGAGCUAACAAAUGAAACCUGUUGUUUUCAAAUAGAUGCUCUUAUACUCCAAAUGAAAUUAAUAAUUACAUCUCAAGAUGCAACUGGAGGAAACUGUUUUAGUUUCAGGAGAGCUCUUUUCUUUGCUGAUGGAAGAAAUGUCUGUAAUUGUUUAGAAUGCAUGUUCUCUAGAGUCCAGGUUUUAAUAAAUAACAUAGCUCAAGGAAUUAGAUGAUGUUGAUUAAAUGAUGUUCAUAUGUCACAUGGUGUUUAAUUCAGAAUAAAGUGCUAUAUGAGAUUUAAAACUGGGGCAUUUUUUAAAGGCCAAAUAUUUCUCCUGGGGUGGGUUGAGGGUUUGGUUUUAAAAAGCACCUUUGAAUCAUCUGUCCCCUAUGAGAGGAAUAAUUCUCAAAAUCUCUCUUUGAAAUUUUGCUUAUAAAUAAUUGAAUGCAGAGAAUCAUAUAUAAUUAGUUAUUACUCAACCCUUCAUGGUUUGACUCAGGUCUAUUUUCUGAGUUCAUGAGGACAGACAUACAAUUCCUCUUAGAAGCCACUGUCUUUCUUAUAAAACCAUCCCCUACUCUUCAAACCAAACACAACACUGCCAACACUGCAGUGAUAGCAACUAAGUUUUAUUGGUACAGCUCUUACAGGGAAGAACCAAUUAUGAUUCUAUAGUGGAUCUGUUUCUUCUUCUUCUUCUUCUUUUUUUUUUUUUUUAACCUUUGCUUCCCAUUGCUUUUUUCACUAAAAAGAUACUGUUUAAAUGUAAUGGACUGCCUCGGGGAACCCUGCCCCUCUACCUAAAUACUAAACCAAAGUGCCUCUUUGUUCAGGACCCUAUCCACCUGAGGGUGGCUCUAAGAAGGGAGAAAUUAACACCUCCCUCCUUGAAGCUUGCCAUUUUAUUUGUAAGAUUAAUGGCCUCUUUGCUUUAUUUCCUCACCUCCCCACUUCUCUGUUCUAUAAAAGAACCUGGCAUCCAGACUCCAAUAAGAUGGUUAUUUUGAGACAUUAGUCUGUCAUCUUCUCGGUCUGCCAGCUUCCUGAACAAAGUAGUGUUCCUUGCCUCAACACCUCAUCUCUGAUUUUACUGGCCUGCCGUGCAUCAAGUAGAUCUGACUUGGACUCAGCAUUAUAACUUAAUAAAGUACUUUUCUAACAGUUAGGUGUUAUGGGUUGGGCUGUAUCCCCUCCCAAAUUCAUAUGUAUAAGUACAUCCUCCAGGACCUCAGAAUGUUCUCUUAUUUGAAAACAGAAUUGUUACAUACAAAAGUAGUCAAGAUGAGAUCAUACUCAGGAGAUUUGGUGCCUAAUCCACUAUGACUGGUAUGGCUUUAUAAAAAGAAAUAGAUGAUACAUUUGACACUCCCUCACAUAUUUGUGCAGCCCAUUACAGUUAAAAUGUGAUAGUCAACUAGUUUCCUGUGGGCAUUGAAAAGAAGAACCAAGGAGGGUCAUGGUGGUGAAGGUCACAAGCAAAUUAGACAACCCUGGUUUCUGGUUCCAAAUGUUAAUUCACCAUGUACAUCAGGAAAUGAACUGCCUUCUAUAAUCCUCAAUUUUUGCAUCUACAGAAUGAGCUUAAUAAUAAUAAAAGCCAGGCUUCUUUGAUGACUCAGUGGUAAAAGAACCCAGCUACCAAAGCAGGAGAUACAGAUCCCAUCUCUGAUCCAAGAGGAUCCCACUUGCUGCAGAGCACCCAAGUCCAUGUGUCACAACUGCUGAGUGUGCUCUAGAGCCUGGGAGCCACGACUAUUGAGCCUACAUGCUGCAACUGCUGCAGCACCCUAGAGCCCAUGCUCUGCAACAAGAAAAGGCAUGACAGGGAGAAGCCCGUGCACCACAACUAAAGUGUAGCCCCUGCUCGCCACAACUAAAGAAAUGCCUUACAGCAACAAAGACUCAGCACAUCCAAAAAUAAAUAAAUACAAUUAUAAAAAAAUAAAAACCUAUGUAUGGAGAGAGUAGCAUGGAAACAUAGGCACUGCCAUAUGUAAAACCAGAUAGCCAGUGAGAAUUUGCUGUAUAAUUCAAUGAAAUCAAGC
rnacentral:lncRNA from 1 species